AAACCAACAGGGAUUGCCUCAGUAACGGCGAGUGAAGCGGCAAGAGCUCAAAUUUGAAAGCUGGCCCCUUCGGGGUCCGCGUUGUAAUUUGCAGAGGAUGCUUCGGGUGCAGCCCCCGUCUAAGUGCCCUGGAACGGGCCGUCAUAGAGGGUGAGAAUCCCGUCUGGGACGGGGUGUCUGCGUCCGUGUGAAGCUCCUUCGACGAGUCGAGUUGUUUGGGAAUGCAGCUCUAAAUGGGUGGUAAAUUUCAUCUAAAGCUAAAUACUGGCCGGAGACCGAUAGCGCACAAGUAGAGUGAUCGAAAGAUGAAAAGCACUUUGAAAAGAGAGUUAAACAGCACGUGAAAUUGUUGAAAGGGAAGCGUUUGCGACCAGACUCGCCCGCGGGGUUCAGCCGGCAUUCGUGCCGGUGUACUUCCCCGUGGGCGGGCCAGCGUCGGUUUGGGCGGCCGGUCAAAGGCCCUCGGAAUGUAUCACCUCUCGGGGUGUCUUAUAGCCGAGGGUGCAAUGCGGCCUGCCUGGACCGAGGAACGCGCUUCGGCUCGGACGCUGGCGUAAUGGUCGUAAAUGAC
rnacentral:rRNA from 3 species